AAUAAAGAUGUAUUAUUGUCAAAGAGAUGGCCAGAAAUUAUAAUCGUCAAUUUGAUUGAAAUUAACAAGCUCAUGCUCUUUUUACAAGUAUGAAUCAAAUUAAUGAUUUGAUUUUCUAAUUCAAGUUUGCUAAUAUAAUGUAUCUAGAUAAUCAUAUGCUUUGAAUUUGUUAAAAAUAAAAAUAAAAAUAAAAUUCCUCGAGGGAAACUAUUACUCAUCCUAUUGAAUGGAGAUGUUGGAAUUUAGUAGCUUUCAAUAUACAUGUACAGGGUCAUUCAAAUAAGCUGCAAAUCUCCAAUUACAUCGCAAUCACAGCACCCAACAACAGAUUACAACCAAAGACAAAUAACUCUAUACUCAUCCAACACAUUCUCACUCUAAAGAGUAUACACUAACAUGGCAAUGGAUCUAACGACGAAACAUGAAUUGGCCAGGUGAUCAAGCUAAAUUGACCAAAAUAGGUCCCAAUUAAUGACCACGUACAAUAGAUAACUAUUGGGUGGAUCAUCCCAGGAUCUCCAGGAAACGCACGACCUUAAGCCGGCAGGAGACUUGGUUCUAUUAACAAUGAACCAGCUACCCGAAUCCAUCCACUCGUUGGAAUCCAUGACCACAACCUUAACUAACAGUAAUGUGGCCUUAUUUGAAAUCUAAAAACAUUUUCAAAAACUAAAAACCACAACCAGAGAAAGACAAAAAUAUGUGGCGCAGCAUACUGAUGGCAAUAAACUGAUACUCGGACAAACAAAGAGUCUCACAAUCACAAACCGAACCAAUACUAAUCAACCACCAAUCUGGAACCAUACGACUAUUCCAAUGGUCGACCUAGCCACCACUAUGAGUAAUAGCCUCCACUUUUCCCAUCAUCAAAGUCUAGGGAUGUUUGCCUUUAUGUGACCACGUAUGGCCCGACCAACCAGCCGCCGACCACCGUCCUACCUCCAUCUGCAGCCACUUCACUAGAAAACUUAUUAAAGAGCAACCACAACCCCAGCAGACUCCAAGAUCUUUGUUGCCGAUUGGAAGCAAUCGAUCCAAACAUAGAAACCCACAAUGCCACAACGCCUCCACGGCAGAUCGUGCUUAUAGACCGUAGUUUCCCCAGAUGGAUCCACAAACCACCCACCAUUGUGCGCCGAUCAGUCAUGCUUUCCUCUGCUGCAGAUUCAAGAAAAGCAAGUAUGAUUCGAUUAAACGACUCCACUAUCAACAAUCGAUAUCCACCACCCUUACUACGCCUAUGCUAAAGAAUAUUGCAUGUUGAGGACUUUGGACCAUCCAACGACGAGGAAACUGUUUUUUCUAGGGUUUUGUCAUCGUGUGCUCGAGAGAGGCAAGAGUUUUUUCUUAAAACUAAAGAUGUUAACUUCUAUUUUUAAAAUAAAAAUGCAAGUAAUCAAGACCCUGCGAACCUCCUCUCCCUUUUAUUCAUUGAUUCUCUAUCAAAGACAAAGUUUGGGCUUCGACCAACAAACUAAGUUUAUUACCUAGAAAUAGAUGAAAGUACACAAAAAAAAAUAGGCAACUCCCUUACAAAAUUCUUCGUAGUUGAAUUGAUAGAGAUAAAUAAAUAAAAAAAUAAAAAACCAACAACAACAACAACAUCAAAAAAUAGUUGAAGAUCGACAAAGAUGUAAUUGUUCAAGGGUUUUUGAUAAAAUUAAGAAUGUGUAUUUAGCUUUUUAAGUAUUUAAAAAAGUAAAUUUGAGGUUUAAUAGGAGAGGUCCAAAUAUCAAAUUUGGAGGUUCAACUAGAACUACCCUGAGGAAAAAAAAAAAAAAAAAAAAAAGGGACAAUGAUAAAAAAGGUCAUUUUAAAGUACUUUAUGAUAAUCCAGACACCACAAAUGUCCUCCUGAUAAUUAAGGUCAGCUAUUAACAACCUACCACUAGAGUUAAACUUAAUUACAAAAACUGCCACCGCUGGCUCUCUCUCCCUCCCUUCCGUUAAUAUGUUAUCCGUUCAAAUUCAACUCUUUACCAAAAUCUCUCUCUCUCUCUCCACAAACCCUUACCAUCCCAACCUCCUUGACCGCGACUCCUUGAGACCUUCCUCGACUUCUCCGACUCGCCGCCCUUCACCAUCGAUAUCUCCUUCGAGUGGAUCCUCGACUCCCGUGACUCCGACACCGAUCAGAUCAAGCUCAUUGAUCGCGCCCUGCAGUUGAGAUCGAUGCUCCUCGAGGCCGGUAAGAGCUCGGCGAGACGACGAGCCUCCAAUCACAACUCCAUCUCCUGGGCUCUCCCUCUCGACCUCACCAUCAAGGCAUUCCGAUUCUUUCGUUUCGAAGCUGCACUUAGUGGUGGAGAAUCAUGGUUUAGGAACAAUAUAUGUAUUACUUGAUGCUGGUUGAGAGAGGACAGAUCAUAUUACCUUGCGAAAGGUGUCCUGAAGGAAACUCAGCGUCUCCUCAGUGAACCUGCUCCGGGAAUUAGUGCUUCGCCAUCGGAAGACAAUAUGCGGUAUUUCAAUGUGAUGAUCUUUGGCCCGACUCAAUCUCCGUAUGAAGGUAUAAAUUACUGAACUUCAUUCCUUUGUGGAAAUGUUAUGCCUUACAAGGAGAUUUUGGGGUUUAUUUUAUCCGAUGUUCAUAUUGUGAUUAGUAGGGUAUUAGUUCUGUUCAUGAAUUUGGAAGAUUGAGCUCUAGUUUUGGUGUAAAAGCUUGAUGGUAACUCUGAUCCGGGAAUCCUUUUCAUAUUCAUUUAUUCUGUAAGUGCAUGUAUUUUCUUACAUGUACUGGAAUGAUGAUAUAUGAUGCUGGAAAUCGAUGAUCUGCAUUAUUGGGUGCUUGCAUUGUCAAAUUUUUUCACCCAUAGUUUUUCUAACCAUGCAUGUGUUGGGACUCGCAUCAUAUGUGCAUUCUUUAGAUUGGUGAUUUGGGAUUGUAAAUCAAAGUCAAACAACAGACAUUAGUGUCUGGAGCUGUUCAUGGAACUUUGCCUUGGAUGGCACCUGAGCUUUUAAUGGGAAAAGUCAUAUGGUGACAGAGAAGAUUGAUGUUUACUCGUUUAGGAUUGUUAUAUGGGAACUGCUUACUGGCGAUGAACCUAUACAGAUAUGCAUUGUGCUUCUAUAAUUGGAUACCCAAUAGGAGCUAUGAUGACACGACAUCAAGGUUUUUCUUAUUUUGGUUGGGGACUAUGGUACUCUGAUAUCGAAGCCCAGCUUUCCUUUUGAAGACGUGUAUAUAAUAAAUUAAUCGUGAGUACCAUGGUGAAAGCUAUGUCAUGAGAUAUAGCUUUGUGCUUCCAAAUUAGACUACUGCACCAAUUUUUGUUAUUUUUCAUUUUCAGCAUAUGCUUCUUUAUGUCAGAUGUUACAUUCAGGGACAUCAUUUUAUAUGUCCAGCUUAUGCUUUUGUUCAAUAUAAAAAGUGAUUGAUUAUCUGUAAGAACAUCUUCAUCAUUUUAUAUUGGCUAUGUAGAGCACGGUAGCCUAAUAAAC